rfam:Oryza rufipogon genomic scaffold, chr08
AAUAAACGCAGUCAUGAGUUUCCAUGUCCAAUUUUGAUCGUCUGUCUUAUUUAAAUUUUUUUGUGAUUAUUAUUUUUAUUGUUAUUAGAUUAUAAAACAUAAAUAGUAUUAUAUGCGUGACUUAUGUUUUUUAGUUUUUUCAAAAAAUAAUCAAAUAAGACGAAUGAUUAAAGUUGGAUACGAAAACUUAUGGCUGCGCUUAUA